rnacentral:rRNA from 1 species
AGAGUUUGAUCAUGGCUCAGGAUAAACGCUAGCGGUGUGCAUUAUGCAUGCAAGUCGAACGGUCUAUCGCAAGAUUGACAGUGGCAAACGGCUGAGUAACACGUAAGCAACCUGUCCUUAAGUGGGGAAUAAUCCGCCGAAAGGCGGACUAAUACCGCAUGUGGUAGUGGGGGUAGGUUUUCACUACUAAAGCUUUCGAGCGCUUGAGGAGGGGCUUGCGUCCUAUCAGGUAGUUGGUGGGGUAACGGCUCACCAAGCCAAAGACGGGUAGCUGGUCUGAGAGGACGUCCAGCCAGACGGGGACUGAGACACGGCCCCGACUCCUACGGGAGGCAGCAGCAGGGAGUUUUGCGCAAUGGGCGAAAGCCUGACGCAGCAACACCGCGUGAGGGAAGAAGGCCUUCGGGUUGUAAACCUCUUUUCUCAGGGAAGAAUAAUGACGGUACCUGAGGAAUAAGUCACGGCUAACUACGUGCCAGCAGCUGCGGUAAUACGUAGGUGGCAAGCGUUAUCCGGAUUCACUGGGCGUAAAGAGCGCGUAGGUGGUCUUGCAAGUCAUAUGUUAAAUCUCCCGGCUUAACUGGGAGUUGUCAUCUGAUACUGCUGGACUUGAGGGCGGUAGAGGGAGGUGGAAUUCCCGGUGUAGUGGUGAAAUGCGUAGAUAUCGGGAGGAACACCAGUGGCGAAAGCGGCCUCCUGGGCCGUUCCUGACACUGAGGCGCGAAAGCGUGGGGAGCGAACAGGAUCAGAUACCCUGGUAGUCCACGCCCUAAACUGUGGAGACUAGGUACAGGGAGUAUCGACCCUUUCCUGCGCCGCAGCUAACGCGUUAAAGUCUCCCGCCUGGGGGACUACGGUCGCAAGAACUAAAAACUCAAAUGAAAUUGACG